rnacentral:misc_RNA from 1 species
CCACAUUUCCAGACUGUUGGCCGAGGUGUCCCUAUGAUGAAUGCUGGAUUGCCUGCUCAACCUCCACAGCCCCAAUUUCCUCAAUCAGUGCAACAGUUACCAGCAAGACCUGGACAACCAGGCCCGGGUCCACCACCAUCACAGGUCAUUGCAUUGCCAAAUGCUCAGCCAAGCAGGCAUGUUGCACCUGGAUCAUCUUUGCCUCCACCUAGUGUUCCAACUCCA